ensembl:miRNA
AGGCCGUCACUGUUGCUAACAUGCAACUCUGUUGAAUAGAAAUUGGAAUUGCACUUUAGCAAUGGUGAUGGACCC